rnacentral:rRNA from 1 species
UACGUAGGGGGCAAGCGUUGUCCGGAAUCACUGGGCGUAAAGCGCACGUAGGCGGAUUGUUAAGUCAGGGGUGAAAUCCUGGAGCUCAACUCCAGAACUGCCUUUGAUACUGGCGAUCUUGAGUCCGGGAGAGGUGAGUGGAACUGCGAGUGUAGAGGUGAAAUUCGUAGAUAUUCGCAAGAACACCAGUGGCGAAGGCGGCUCACUGGCCCGGUACUGACGCUGAGGUGCGAAAGCGUGGGGAGCAAACAGG